UUGGUGAUGUAACCUUGAUACAGCGAUAUCUCUGUCAAGAAUUCCUUUAGCCCUUGUACUGAUCCUUCUUUUGCUCGCUUGACAGCAAUAAUUGUUUUAUCAGUGAAAAUCCCCUUAAAGACAGACCCAUAUCCUCCUUCCCCAACUUGAUUUGAGUUAUCAAAGUAGUUAGUGGCCAAUAUCAUUUCUCUGAAAGUGAAGCUUUUAAUUUUUGCAGAAAAAGUUCAAAGAAACAUAUCUGAAUAAACUAAAGGUAAAGCUUACCAAAUGAGAGAACACACAUAAACGUUUCCUUGAUAGGAUGCUUUGGUAUUUGGCAUGUCAUCUUUUGAUAAACACAACAACAAUUGUUGAAACAAAAUGCAGCAAAAGCACCUGCUACAACGCCAACUAUCAAAGCUGUUACAUCCCGUAUUUUUGAACGUCAGAUUAUUUGUAAGCUGAGGUGGGGCCCACACGUCAAGAUUUUUUUUUUAUUUUUUUUGGGACAUGUGACAAAUUAUAUGAAUCACAUAUGUGAAGUUAAACACAACUCAAGAAGGACCCUUGGGCCAAAUCAAAGUGGAAGUCCUCCAAACGAAUAUUUUUAAGAAAACGUUUUCGGGUGACCUGACUUUGGGGGGCAAAAACGGUAUUAUAUGUUUGGAAUUUGGAAAAAUACCAAGAAGUAGAAGUUGUAGAUAAUUGAAUUAUCUUUCCAACCAUAGGUCGUGGGUUCCCAGGUGACGUCGGUACAAGGAGAUAUGGACGUUUUAAGGUCGAAAGGUCAGUGGGCUAGGCCCAACUCGGGACCAACCGAGUUGGCCCAAAAAAAUGAAAAGAAAAAUUUAGGCCCAAGGUGAGAGGGUGGCCGGCCAUACCUGGUCCAAGCCCACCAAAUUAAUUAAUUUCCAUGUGGCAAAUUAAUUAUAAAGGGAUCAUUAUCCCUUAGAUGAUUCAAGAAACUUAGAAGGAGAAAGAACAAACAAAACAAGAGCAAAAAAAAGGGCCAUUUCGGGUUUGGCCAUAGAAAAUUCACCCCUCCAAAUCUUCCUCCAAAAAUUAUUUUCUUGUGGUAUUCCUACUAAUUUAAGGGUCCUUUACAACUUGGUGUAAUUGUUUUGGAAGAAGGAGCACUUAUUUCUUCAAGUUGACAACUUGUUCAAGUGAAGGAAUUGUAGAAAAAGAUUUUGGGCGAAACGGGAAUUGAAUUUGGAAAGGCGUAAAGAGCAUAUAAGGUACAGACGACAGGUUUGCUGAUCCGCACGUUUAGGAUCCCAUUUCUGCUAUUUUGGGGCGCUCUCUUCUACAGAGCCCAUCUUUUGGUACAGUCUGUCACUGCUAUCUAGAUAUGUACUUUGUUCAGGGUAUGACGGGGCCCUGUCCCGUCUUAUGAUUAUGAUAUGUUCUGUAGAGGUCUGUGGAUACAUCUGUGUGGGUUCUGUACAUAUGUUUGGGAUGUUUUGUUUUAUGAUAGCCUUAUCGGCUUCUGUGUGCCAAGUCUGCUCUUCGGCUAAAUUCUGUA